rnacentral:lncRNA from 1 species
GAUUUACCUUUGGGCCCAUUUUUGGGUAGAUUUUGUUGAAGCCCAAAUGAAGGUUGGCAUAGGGGUUUAGUACCCAAAGGGAGAAAAAUGUUGUAACUCAUCUCAUUCUCAUUUUUUUUCGUUUGGCAACUCUUGGACUUUUUCAAAUUCCCCUUUUUGGGGUUUUAGGUUUUGUUUUCUUUCUCUUUCAAUUACUAAAUCAAUUUCGUUUUUCCCUUGCAUUUAUUGAAUGAAUUUUGUUUUUAAUUUCCAAUUCCAUUUUCGUUUUGCAUUUUCGUUGCUUCUCUUCCCUGCACUUUCGUUUUCUCCAAUUUAAUUGCAUUACAUUUAUGUUUUCCACUUUGCAUUGUGUUUUUAAUUAGGUUUUCCAAUUUCUAUUGCUUUCUACUCUUCUGUUCUUGACUCAAUUGCUAUCCAAU